rnacentral:ncRNA from 1 species
UUGCUUUGGUGCUUCAUUGUGAAGUGAAAAGGGAAGUCCGGUGAGAAUCCGGCGCGGACCCGCCACCGUGAAUCGGUCAAGCGUCAUCAUUAAGCCACUGGGAAACCGGGAAGGCGAUGGCGAUACAGGCCGUCAGUCGGGAGACCUGCCAAGGUAUU